GGAUUUAGUGCCGUAAAUCGGGCUGUCCAUCGGUUUAAAUAACCCGGUGAAGAAAGGGCCGGGCAAGACCGGUGCCAGCCGCCGCGGUAAUACCGGCGGCUCGAGUGGUGGCCACUAUUACUGGGCUUAAAGCGUUCGUAGCUGGUUUGUUAAGUCUCUGGGGAAAUCUUCCGGCUUAACCGGAAGGCGUCUCAGGGGAUACUGGCAGACUAGGGACCGGGAGAGGUGAGGGGUACUCCAGGGGUAGGAGUGAAAUCCUGUAAUCCUUGGGGGACCACCUGUGGCGAAGGCGCCUCACCAGAACGGCUCCGACAGUGAGGGACGAAAGCUGGGGGAGCAAACCGGAUUAGAUACCCGGGUAGUCCCAGCUGUAAACGAUGUGCGUUAGGUGUAUCAGUGACCACGAGUUACUGAGGUGCCGAAGAGAAAUCGUGAAACGUACCGCCUGGGAAGUACGGUCGCAAGGCUGAAACUUAAAGGAAUUGGCGGGGGAGCACCACAACGGGUGGAGCCUGCGGUUUAAUCGGACUCAACGCCGGGAAACUCACCAGAUAAGACAGCUGAAUGAUUGUCGGGCUGAAGACUCUACAUGACUAGCUGAGAGGAGGUGCAUGGCCGUCGUCAGUUCGUACUGUGAAGCAUCCUGUUAAGUCAGGCAACGAGCGAGACCCACGCCAACAGUUGCCAGCUCGUCCUCCGGGAUGGAGGGGACACUGUUGGGACCGCCUCUGCUAAAGAGGAGGAAGGAAUGGGCAACGGUAGGUCAGCAUGCCCCGAAUUAUCUGGGCUACACGCGGGCUACAAUGGGUGGGACAAUGGGUAUCGACACCGAAAGGUGAAGGCAAUCUCCUAAACCCAUCCUUAGUUCGGAUUGUGGGUACACUCACGCACAUGAAGCUG
rnacentral:rRNA from 1 species